rnacentral:SRP_RNA from 1 species
GGCCGGGUCCUGUGCAAAUGAGGUCCGUGAACCGAGUCAGGGCCGGGAGGCAGCAGCUCUCAGCGGAGCCCUCGUUGUGCCGCAGAUCACCUGGCCGUC